rnacentral:rRNA from 1 species
UGCUACCAUGCAGUCGAACGAUGAUCUUCAGCUUGCUGGGGGGAUUAGUGGCGAACGGGUGAGUAACACGUGAGUAACCUGCCCUUGACUCUGGGAUAAGCCUGGGAAACUGGGUCUAAUACUGGAUAUGACCUUCUGGCGCAUGCCAUGUUGGUGGAAAGCUUUAUUGCGGUUUUGGAUGGACUCGCGGCCUAUCAGCUUGUUGGUGGGGUAAUGGCCUACCAAGGCGACGACGGGUAGCCGGCCUGAGAGGGUGGACGGCCACACUGGGACUGAGACACGGCCCAGACUCCUACGGGAGGCAGCAGUGGGGAAUAUUGCACAAUGGGCGCAAGCCUGAUGCAGCGACGCCGCGUGGGGGAUGAAGGCCUUCGGGUUGUAAACCUCUUUCAGUAGGGAAGAAGCGAAAGUGACGGUACCUGCAGAAGAAGCGCCGGCUAACUACGUGCCAGCAGCCGCGGUAAUACGUAGGGCGCAAGCGUUAUCCGGAAUUAUUGGGCGUAAAGAGCUCGUAGGCGGUUUGUCGCGUCUGCCGUGAAAGUCCGGGGCUUAACUCCGGAUCUGCGGUGGGUACGGGCAGACUAGAGUGAUGUAGGGGAGACUGGAAUUCCUGGUGUAGCGGUGAAAUGCGCAGAUAUCAGGAGGAACACCGAUGGCGAAGGCAGGUCUCUGGGCAUUAACUGACGCUGAGGAGCGAAAGCAUGGGGAGCGAACAGGAUUAGAUACCCUGGUAGUCCAUGCCGUAAACGUUGGGCACUAGGUGUGGGGGACAUUCCACGUUUUCCGCGCCGUAGCUAACGCAUUAAGUGCCCCGCCUGGGGAGUACGGCG